rnacentral:rRNA from 1 species
UACGUAGGGCGCGAGCGUUUGUCCGGAAUCAUUGGGCGUAAAGAGCUCGGUAGGCGGCCGGUUGCGUCUGCUGUGAAAUCCCGGGGCUUAACCCCGGGCGUGCAGUGGAUACGGGCUGGCUGGAGGCAGGCAGGGGGAGAAUGGAAUUCCCGGUGUAGCGGUGAAAUGCGCAGAUAUCGGGAAGAACACCCGUGGCGAAGGCGGUUCUCUGGGACGGUACUGACGCUGAGACGCGAAAGCGUGGGGAGCGAACAGGG